UACGUAGGGGGCGAGCGUUACCCGGAUUUACUGGGCGUAAAGAGCGUGUAGGCGGCUGGCCAAGCGUGAUGUGAAAUCUUCGGGCUUAACCCGAAAACUGCAUUGCGAACUGGUCUGGCUAGAGUGUGUGAGAGGGUAGUGGAAUUCCCGGUGUAGCGGUGAAAUGCGUAGAGAUCGGGAGGAACAUCCGUGGCGAAGGCGACUACCUGGACCAGCACUGACACUGAGGCACGAAAGCGUGGGGAGCAAACAGG
rnacentral:rRNA from 1 species